GACGAACGCUGGCGGCGUGCUUAACACAUGCAAGUCGAACGGGCCUUGUCCCCUUUUUUUUUGGGGGUGGGGUUAGCGGCGAACGGGUGAGUAACACGUGAGUAACCUGCCCCUCACUUCUGGAUAACCGCUUGAAAGGGUGGCUAAUACGGGGUGUUCUGGCCUGCUCGCAUGGGUGGGUUUGGAAAGAUUCGACCGGUUUUGGUUGUUUUGGUGGGGGAUGGGCUCGCGGCCUAUCAGCUUGUUGGUGGGGUGAUGGCCUGCCAAGGCUUUGACGGGUAGCCGGCCUGAGAGGGUGGGCGGUCACACUGGGACUGAGACACGGCCCAGACUCCUACGGGAGGCAGCAGUGGGGAAUAUUGCACAAUGGGCGCAAGCCUGAUGCAGCGACGCCGCGUGAGGGAUGGAGGCCUUCGGGUUGUGAACCUCUUUCGCCAGUGAAGAAGGUCCUGCUCUUUGUGGUGGGGUUGACGGUAGCUGGGUUAAUGAAGCGCCGGCUAACUACGUG
rnacentral:rRNA from 1 species